GUCGCUAUCGUCCAAUGGUUAAGACGUAACGUUGUGGAUUGCAGUCCCGUUACGAUCCAGGUUCGAUUCCUGGUGGCGACA